AUUGAACGCUGGCGGCAUGCCUAACACAUGCAAGUCGAACGGUAACGGGUCCUUCGGGAUGCCGACGAGUGGCGCACGGGUGAGUAAUAUAUCGGAACGUGCCCAGUAGUGGGGGAUGACUUCUCGAAAGAGCAGCUAAUACCGCAUACGACCUGAGGGUGAAAGGGGGGGAUCGCCAGAACGCUCGCUAUUGGAGCGGCCGAUAUCCGAUUGGCUAGUUGGUGGGGUAAAGGCCUACCAAGGCUACGAUCGGCAGCUGGUCUGAGAGGCCGACCACCUAGACUGGAUCUGAGACUCGGCCGAGACUCCUAGGGUGGGAACCGGAGGGGAAUUUUGGACAAGGGCGCAAAGCCUGAUCCUGCACUGCGGCGUGCAGGAAGAAGGCGUGCGGGUUGUAAACUGCUUUUGUCAGGGAGGAAAUGUACUGGGCUAAAAACCCGAGAUCAUGACGGUACCUGACGAAUAAGCACCGGCUAACUACGUG
rnacentral:rRNA from 1 species